ensembl:ribozyme RNase_MRP RNase MRP
GUUCGUGCUGAAGGCCUGUUUCCUAGGCUACAAACGGGGGACUAGUUCCCGGCCAACCCGCCUAGGGGAAAGUCCCCGGACCCUUGGCAGAGAGUGCCACGUGUGUACGCACGCAGACUUACCCCACCUCGCACUGGUUAGUCCGCCAAGAUGCGACCCCGCUCCUGUGGCGGGCGAGCUGAGCGGCGUGUGACGGGGCGUCAUCCGUCAGCUCUCCUAGUUACGCAGGCAGUGCGCCUCCUAGCGCGCCAACCACACGGGGCUCAUUCUCGGCACGGA